AGAGUUUGAUCCUGGCUUAGGAUAAACGCUGGCGGCGCACAUAAGACAUGCAAGUCGAACGAACUUAACCAUUAGUUUACUAUUGGAGCGGUUAGUGGCGGACUGGUGAGUAACACGUAAGCAACCUGCCUAUCAGAGGGGAACAACAGUUAGAAAUGACUGCUAAUACCGCAUAUGCCUUAGAAUCACAUGGUUCGAAAGGGAAAGGAGCAAUCCGCUGAUAGAUGGGCUUGCAU
rnacentral:rRNA from 1 species